rnacentral:rRNA from 1 species
UGGGGAAUUUUGCACAAUGGGGGAAACCCUGAUGCAGCGACGCCGCGUGAUUUAGAAGGCCUUCGGGUUGUAAAAAUCUUUUCUAUGGGAAGAUAAUGACAGUACCAUAGGAAUAAGGACCGGCUAAUUACGUGCCAGCAGCCGCGGUAAUACGUAAGGUCCGAGCGUUGUCCGGAAUCAUUGGGCGUAAAGGGUACGUAGGCGGGUAAGCAAGUUAGAAGUGAAAUCCUAUAGCUCAACUAUAGUAAGCUUUUAAAACUGCUCAUCUUGAGGUAUGGAAGGGAAAGUGGAAUUCCUAGUGUAGCGGUGAAAUGCGCAGAUAUUAGGAGGAAUACCGGUGGCGAAGGCGACUUUCUGGCCAUAACCUGACGCUGAGGUACGAAAGCGUGGGUAGCAAACAGG